rnacentral:rRNA from 1 species
GAUGAACGCUAGCUACAGGCUUAACACAUGCAAGUCGAGGGGAAACGGCAUCGAAAGCUUGCUUUUGAUGGGCGUCGACCGGCGCACGGGUGAGUAACGCGUAUCCAACCUGCCCAUCACUUGGGAAUAACCUUGCGAAAGUAAGACUAAUGCCCAAUGACAUCCCACGAAGGCAUCCGAAUGGGAUUAAAGAUUUAUCGGUGAUGGAUGGGGAUGCGUCUGAUUAGCUUGUUGGCGGGGUGACAGCCCACCAAGGCAACGAUCAGUAGGGGUUCUGAGAGGAAGGUCCCCCACAUUGGAACUGAGACACGGUCCAAACUCCUACGGGAGGCAGCAGUGAGGAAUAUUGGUCAAUGGGCGAGAGCCUGAACCAGCCAAGUAGCGUGCAGGAUGACGGCCCUAUGGGUUGUAAACUGCUUUUAUAAGGGAAUAAAGUGGGUCACGUGUGACUUUUUGCAUGUACCUUAUGAAUAAGGACCGGCUAAUUCCGUG